rnacentral:rRNA from 1 species
GACGAACGCUGGCGGCGUGCUUAACACAUGCAAGUCGAGCGGAAAGGCCCUUUCGGGGGUACUCGAGCGGCGAACGGGGGAGUAACACGUGAGUAAUCUGCCCUUGGCUUUGGGAUAACCACCGGAAACGGUGGCUAAUACCGGAUAUGACGCGCCCCGGCAUCGGGGUGUGGGGAAAGUUUUUUCGGCCAGGGAUGUGCUCGCGGCCUAUCAGCUUGUUGGUGGGGUAAUGGCCUACCAAGGCUUCGACGGGUAGCCGGCCUGAGAGGGUGACCGGCCACACUGGGACUGAGACACGGCCCAGACUCCUACGGGAGGCAGCAGUGGGGAAUAUUGGACAAUGGGCGGAAGCCUGAUCCAGCAACGCCGCGUGAGGGAUGACGGCCUUCGGGUUGUAAACCUCUUUCAGUACCGACGAAGCGCCGAUGAUGGUGGUGACGGUAGGUACAGAAGAAGCACCGGCCAACUACGUGCCAGCCGCCGCGGUAA